UACGUAGGGCGCAAGCGUUAUCCGGAAUUAUUGGGCGUAAAGAGCUCGUAGGCGGUUUGUCGCGUCUGCCGUGAAAGUCCGGGGCUCAACUCCGGAUCUGCGGUGGGUACGGGCAGACUAGAGUGAUGUAGGGGGGACUGGAAUUCUCGGUGUAGCAGUGAAAUGCGUAGAUAUCGAGAGGAACACCAGUGGCGAAGGCGAGUCCCUGGACAAAACCUGACACUGAGGCACGAAAGCUAGGGGAGCAAACAGG
rnacentral:rRNA from 1 species